rnacentral:rRNA from 1 species
GAUGAAUGCUGGCGGCGUGCCUAAUACAUGCAAGUCGAGCGAACAGACGAGGAGCUUGCUCCUCUGACGUUAGCGGCGGACGGGUGAGUAACACGUGGAUAACCUACCUAUAAGACUGGGAUAACUUCGGGAAACCGGAGCUAAUACCGGAUAAUAUAUUGAACCGCAUGGUUCAAUAGUGAAAGGCGGUUUUGCUGUCACUUAUAGAUGGAUCCGCGCCGCAUUAGCUAGUUGGUAAGGUAACGGCUUACCAAGGCAACGAUGCGUAGCCGACCUGAGAGGGUGAUCGGCCACACUGGAACUGAGACACGGUCCAGACUCCUACGGGAGGCAGCAGUAGGGAAUCUUCCGCAAUGGGCGAAAGCCUGACGGAGCAACGCCGCGUGAGUGAUGAAGGUCUUCGGAUCGUAAAACUCUGUUAUUAGGGAAGAACAAAUGUGUAAGUAACUAUGCACGUCUUGACGGUACCUAAUCAGAAAGCCACGGCUAACUACGUG